UCCCACUGCUCAGCCAUGCUCCUGCUGCUCAUCCCAGUGCUGGAGAUGGUUUUUGCCCUGAGUGGGACCAGAGCCCAGUCAGUGACCCAGCCUGAAGUCCACAUCACUGUCUCUGAGGGAGCCGCUCUGGAGCUGAGGUGCAAAUACUCAUCUGCUAUUUCACAGAGUCUCUUCUGGUACGUGCAAUAUCCCAACCAAGGCCUCCAGCUUCUCCUCGAGUACUUUUCAGGGGCCACUGUGGUUAAAGGCAUCAAAGGUUUUGAAGCUGAAUUUAAGAAGAGUGAAACCACCUUCCACCUGAGGAAACCCUCAGCCCAUUGGAGCGACUCACCUGAGUGCUUCUGUGCUCUGAUGACACGCAGUCCCUGGGACUGCAAGGGGAGCUGA